GGGAUCCUUCUCAGGCAGCGGCAGAUGAUGGAUUGCACGUGGACACUGCCUGGGAUGCGUGCGACUUGGCAGCCUGCCCCUUUCCUGCCCUGGGAUCAGACGCCUUCAAUGUCGGAGCCCAGACGGGGCAAGGCGAGGAGGAGCCCGGGGCGAAGACGCCACCCACAUUCCUCCUUCCCGCAGGCUUCUUCUCCUUCUAGCCCUUCCAGGAGAGAAACCAUCCCACAAGUCCAGAGUAGUGGCGUCCCCGGGGCCAUGUCUCCUGAGCAAACACUGUUUUCUAGGAGUCCGAGGGGCCUCAGCCAUCUAGGUCAAUCCCUUUGCAGAACGGUGAAGGAAUCUGAAGCCCAGAGAGGGAAAACAAUGCCUCCUGGGUCACACAGCCCAUCAGGGGCAGGGCAGGGACGAACGGCGAGAAAAGGACCAGCGCGAGAGGA
rnacentral:lncRNA from 1 species